rnacentral:rRNA from 1 species
AUGAGGGAUGCUUUCACCUUAGGGAUGCGAAGCACACAACUAAGUGAGAGCCUAAACAAUGACUCGAAACUCCACCUGAAACCAGACCUUGACCUUGUUCAUUUUUCAAGCAUUUUGAAAGGGUUGUGCAAGGGAAACGAGACAAUGAGUUGGAUUCGGAGUACGAGUCCAGAGAGAAACUACCUAGAAUCAAAAUAA